CCUACGGGAGGCAGCAGUAGGGAAUCUUCCACAAUGGACGAAAGUCUGAUGGACCAACGCCGCGUGAGUGAAGAAGGGUUUCGGCUCGUAAAGCUCUGUUGGUAGUGAAGAAAGAUAGAGGUAGUAACUGGCCUUUAUUUGACGGUAAUUACUUAGAAAGUCACGGCUAACUACGUGCCAGCAGCCGCGGUAAU
rnacentral:rRNA from 1 species